rnacentral:snRNA from 1 species
GAAAUGGAGGGGGAACAGUGUCUCUCCUUAGAAUGUCGUCGCUCCUGCCAAGAUGGUUACAGCUCCUCCUUCACCACUCCGUGAACAUCAUUCCCAAAGCUGUGUGCUCCAUCAAAGAAAACGACCUUCUCCAACAGAGGCAACGUUCUUCAAUUGAAGCUAUAUGAGCAGCUGUAUGGCCCUCCCAGGCAGAACCACCGAAACAGGAUCUCAGUGUCCUUCUGCAAAAACAUAGAGUAGCCAAAUUCCUCAGACUCCAGACACAUAUAAAUGAGAUAAUGCAUGUAGCAAUCUAUAUUU